rnacentral:misc_RNA from 1 species
CCCGACUGUGCCUGAUGUGAAGUGAGGAAUGAGGAGACGAUUGUUUAAAAAAGAACUUACGCUCCAGUACACCAGAAAACAAGGGCAGCCAUAGACAGAGCCACAACCAACAAGCGGCAUCUCUGGGCGUUCAUGAUUUCUCUAUAUUUCAAAUAAUGAGUACUUUUCGAACGCAAGAUGACAAAAGACUUUUGUCGGAGUAGAUGAUCAUACAACGUUGAGCUACGAAUGCCAGACGUUCUUCGAUAGAUUUUGUCAAACACCUGUCAUCUCAUUUAUUCAUUUUUCACCAAUACGCUACCUGCUGCAUGCAAAUUACAGAGCAAAACUGAUUCGUCUUUUCUUUAUUGUGCGAUUCAAAAUGUUAUUGCAUGAAAAUCCUUUUGAAGGUAGUCGAUCAGAUCCGUUCUUUGAAUCAGAACAAUGGCUAACUCGUUACUAGGGGCGACGCGAUUCACGGGACUGUCAAAGUGGCAAAAACUAUAAUGUCCUGGGUCAAAACCAUGUAAACUGUUCAACUGUCAAUACCCACUCGUGCUGCUACGCGGUGACUCAACCCGUCUCGAGCUGCAGCCCACUGCUACGGAAGCCCGGUAGGGACAUCUACUAACUCUGCGAGUCUCUGCUGAACUAGCAGCACCUGAAACCCACCCCGGACUAAGGGGUGCAUACCGACCGCAGUUAAUGUGAUCAUCGAUAAAUCAACCGGCCACAACAGGAGAAGUAAUUUCCGCAUUUACCUUCUGGAGGGCGGUAAAUAUAUAGGAUUGUUUUAAAUAUGUAGAUGACAAAUGAUUGAUUCCAAUUCUGAAAUAACAGAAAAAUUUUCACAGAUGAUUGAUAAAUAAAAAAAAAAAACUCUGAAACAUAUUUAGUAAAAAGUUUCACGUUUAUAGAAAAUCAAUGUUAGAGACGAGAUCUUUUAGAUACAAGAAUGGGACAUCAUCCUCUAGAACAAUCCUUGUGUAAAAGUCAAAAUUGAUUGGUGACUUUCUGCUUCAGGUUCAACAAGCCUAAAUGAUAAUUUAAUUUUGUGAAGUUUGAAUAUAGAUUGUUCAGUUACACCUAUAAGUGAAAAUUUU